GUGGGGAAUAUUCCGCAAUGGACGAAAGUCUGACGGAGCAACGCCGCGUGAGUGAUGAAGGUUUUCGGACUGUAAAGCUCUGUUGUUUAGGACGAAAGUGCCUGUUGCAAAUAGUUACAGGUAUUGACGGUACUGAACGAGGAAGCCACGGCUAACUACGUGCCAGCAGCCGCGGUAAUACGUAGGUGGCAAGCGUUGUCCGGAAUUAUUGGGCGUAAAGAGCAUGUAGGCGGGAAUCUAAGUCUGUUGUGAAAAUGCGGGGCUCAACCCCGUAUUGCGAUGGAAACUGGGUUUCUUGAGUGCAGGAGAGGAAAGGGGAAUUCCCAGUGUAGCGGUGAAAUGCGUAGAUAUUGGGAGGAACACCAGUGGCGAAGGCGCCUUUCUGGACUGUGUCUGACGCUGAGGCGCGAAAGCUAGGGGAGCGAACGGGAUUAGAUACCCGGGUAGUCC
rnacentral:rRNA from 1 species